GUGCUAUAUAGCUUAUGGCUUUUUAGGAGUUCGUAGUCUUUAGCAUUUAGGAUUUUGACUUGGAUACAUUUCAAAAGAGCAAAGCCAACUUGGCGUUGUUACUUGGAGCUUGAUUAGCCAUCCUGGACCACUUCAUAAGCGUAAGAAGAACCUUGGCCACAGUACCUGUGAACAAAUCCUGAAGCAUAUCCCAUGAGAAAAGUACAUGUGGAAAGGGUGUGCUAUUUGGCCGAGGGAUCUGCAUGGUGGAUUUGGCCAAGACCUCAUGUUAAACCUGCCUUUUGAGCUGGACUGGCUCCGAUGGAAUCUUUACAGUCUACUCUGGUUGGGCUGUGUUUAUACCAAAUGCUCAAAGGCAUCUACUUCCUCUCAAAUAUUAGGAUUUUGCAGCUGGAGUUAAAAAUACAUCCAGAGGGAUAGCAAAAAACUGAAGCAACUGGUACAUACAUUUAAAGAAUAUGAGCAGAAAAACACAUGAAUCUUUAAGUUACUGUACUGCUUUCAUAAAAUAUUUGCACAAUUUAUCAAAUCACAUUUAAUAAA